rnacentral:miRNA from 1 species
UGAUUGUCCAAACGCAAUUCUG